AAAACUGACCGAGUAAAUGUGAAUAUUUUUUCACUUGAACACUCUGAUCUGUUUGGAACUUAAUUUCCUUACUCAUGAAAUUAAUAUAAUAAGGCUAAGUUGGUCAGUAGUUAAACUAACUAAAUUUGGCUGAAGAUUGCUAUGUUCACUAUGCAAAGAUUAGACCGUUAGUUCCCUGAGUGAAGAGAUGCUAUCUUGGUAUCUCCAGCUUCCAACCGGGGGCUUGGCACAGAAUAGGGGCUUGGUAAAUGUUUUCCAAAUGAAUGGGAUGUCUGAUGGAAAGAAGACAAGGUGAAGGAAUUCCUGGGUAAUAUGGAGAUGAGAAUCUGUGAGAAGGAUACAUGUACUGAUGCCUGUCGCGGUGGACACACAGACGCACACAUUGCGGAACACCACCAUAAGAAUAUUGAGAAUAUCGAGAACACUUCAAUAUUCCAAACUUCAAUGGAAAUAUACGAACUGGAGUACACUCUUCUUCUGCCCUUGGACAUCAGGCUCUCUGGCCUUUGGACUCCAGGACUUAUACCAGCGCCCCUCUGGGUUCUCAGGCCUCUGUACUUGAACUGAGCCACACUGCCAGCAUGCCAGCUUCUCCAGCUUGCCAGGCCUGCUGUGGGACUUCUCAGCCUCCAUAAUCAUGUGUGCCAAUUCCCCUAAUAAAUCUCCUCUCA
rnacentral:lncRNA from 1 species